rnacentral:tRNA from 1 species
GGAAAUUUCAGAAGGUCUACUUCUGAAGCAGGAGGUCGAUGGUUCGAGUCCAUUAGUCUCCA